rnacentral:rRNA from 2 species
UCUGGUAAUGAUGGCAGAGAGGUCACACCCGUUCCCAUACCGAACACGGAAGUUAAGCUCUCUAGCGCCGAUGGUAGUUGGGAC